rnacentral:sRNA from 1 species
UAACACUGGCCCUAGCAAGAGCUGUGCUU